rnacentral:rRNA from 1 species
CGAGGAUCUUCGGCAAUGGACGAAAGUCUGACCGAGCAACGCCGCGUGUGCGAUGAAGGCCUUCGGGUUGUAAAGCACUGUCGAGGGGAAACAAGCCGUAAGGUUGAGUGACCCCUGGAGGAAGCACGGGCUAAGCUCGUGCCAGCAGCCGCGGUAAGACGAACCGUGCAAACGUUAUUCGGAAUCACUGGGCUUAAAGGGCGCGUAGGCGGGGGAUCAAGUCAAUGGUGAAAUCCUCCAGCCUAACU